AUGCUAUCUCUCAGGCAAGUGAUGAAUAUGGGUUCUCAGCUGGGUCAUGUCCAACCUUUGUUCUCUUUGUUGCUUGCUCUCUGUCUCAAAAUGUCUUCAAGCAAAACAACUGCUCUUGUUGCUGCUCUUACUCCUAGAUCCAAAGGCACAAGAAAAAAUGUUGUUGGAAGUCUGAAUGAUAUUAGAUGGCAACAUGAGACUGAUGUUCUUGGAAAUGGUAAAAAGGUUAAAUACAAAUACUAA